UUAUUUUUUCGUGUAGGUAUUUGCAUUAGAGCGAUUUACUAUCUUUCAACAACUAUUUCCAUCCAGUUUUCCUUUAAUGGUUGAGUGGGCAAAGAUAUAUAAACCGUAUACCAAAAAUUGUGCCAACAGAAGUGGGGGACACUAUCAAGAGAUGCUUGUAGACAUGAAGGAAGAUGAGGUACCUAACAAAAUUUCAUCUCUUUGUCAUAUGCAUUUGUUCUAUAUUAAAUACUUAGAUUAUAUUUUUUCAGAUUAAGUGGCAGCCAUAUAGCAAAGUUAUAUUGCCCAAGGAAUACACCUCUCAAUUGAGUAUGGUAUUUGCACAUGUUCCAUGCAUCUGCUUUAACACCAUCGCAUACAACCGAACUAUUUGGGAGAGCCACUAAAUAGUUUUCCGAUUAGGAAUGACGAGACCUUGGAGAUGGGAGAGCCACCAAACAAGUGGAAUGAAAGCAAUAGAUGGGUUGACCAUUCACAUGUCACUGAGGUGGUCGAGACUUUGCCGGAGAAAACCAGUAAAUCGGCUGAUGCAAAUGUGAAUUGUCUUUUUUUUUUUUU
rnacentral:sRNA from 1 species